rnacentral:miRNA from 1 species
UGACAACGAGAGAGAGCACGCG